AAUUACCAACUCAUAUUACGAUUAUGCGGGAGAACACGAUUGCGCCAAAUUCGAGGACGGUGAUGGCUAUUCUUGGACCUGUUGAAGUGGUAGACGAAGUAACAGGUGGACUGAAGCUUUUGUAGUAGAAUCUCAAUUCCAAGUGGAUGCUUAUGCGUAACUUCAAAUAGU